AAAUUGAAGAGUUUGAUCAUGGCUCAGAUUGAACGCUGGCGGCAGGCCUAACACAUGCAAGUCGAACGGUAACAGGAAGCAGCUUGCUGCUUUGCUGACGAGUGGCGGACGGGUGAGUAAUGUCUGGGAAACUGCCUGAUGGAGGGGGAUAACUACUGGAAACGGUGGCUAAUACCGCAUAACGUCGCAAGACCAAAGAGGGGGACCUUCGGGCCUCUUGCCAUCAGAUGUGCCCAGAUGGGAUUAGCUAGUUGGUGAGGUAACGGCUCACCAAGGCGACGAUCCCUAGCUGGUCUGAGAGGAUGACCAGCCACACUGGAACUGAGACACGGUCCAGACUCCUACGGGAGGCAGCAGUGGGGAAUAUUGCACAAUGGGCGCAAGCCUGAUGCAGCCAUGCCGCGUGUAUGAAGAAGGCCUUCGGGUUGUAAAGUACUUUCAGCGGGGAGGAAGGUG
rnacentral:rRNA from 2 species